rnacentral:rRNA from 1 species
GACAGAGGGGGCAAGCGUUGCUCGGAAUUACUGGGCGUAAAGGGCGCGUAGGCGGAAUGGCAAGUCGGUCGUGAAAUCCUUCGGCUCAACCGAAGAACGUCGAUCGAAACUGCCGUUCUUGAGGAUUGCAGAGGAGACUGGAAUUCCCGGUGUAGCGGUGAAAUGUGUAGAGAUCGGGAGGAACACCGGUGGCGAAGGCGGGUGUCUGGGCAAUUCCUGACGCUGAGGCGCGAAAGCGUGGGGAGCGAACAGG